rnacentral:rRNA from 1 species
AACGAACGCUGGCGGCAGGCUUAACACAUGCAAGUCGAGCGCCCCGCAAGGGGAGCGGCAGACGGGUGAGUAACGCGUGGGAACGUGCCCUUCUCUACGGAACAACACGGAGAAAUCUGUGCUAAUACCGUAUACGCCCUUAGGGGGAAAGAUUUAUCGGAGAAGGAUCGGCCCGCGUCUGAUUAGGUAGUUGGUGUGGUAACGGCGCACCAAGCCGACGAUCAGUAGCUGGUCUGAGAGGAUGAUCAGCCACACUGGGACUGAGACACGGCCCAGACUCCUACGGGAGGCAGCAGUGGGGAAUAUUGGACAAUGGGCGCAAGCCUGAUCCAGCCAUGCCGCGUGAGUGAUGAAGGCCUUAGGGUUGUAAAGCUCUUUCACCCGGGACGAUAAUGACGGUACCGGGAGAAGAAGCCCCGGCUAACUUCGUG